rnacentral:rRNA from 1 species
GGAUUGCCCCAGUAACGGUGAGUGAAACGGCAACAUCUCAAAUUUGAAAUCUGGCCCCAGGGCCCGAGUUGUAAUUUGCAGAGGAUGCUUCUGGCGAGGCGCCGCCGAGUUCCCUGGAACGGGACUCCGCAGAGGGUGAGAGCCCCGUCUGGCUGGCCGCCGAGCCUCUGUGAAGCUCCUUCGACGAGUCGAGUAGUUUGGGAAUGCUGCUCAAAACGGGAGGUAUAUGCCUUCUAAAGCUAAAUAUUGGCCAGAGACCGAUAGCGCACAAGUAGAGUGAUCGAAAGAUGAAAAGCACUUUGAAAAGAGGGUUAAACAGUACGUGAAAUUGUUGAAAGGGAAGCGCUCGCGACCAGACUCGCGGCGGGCGGAUCAUCGGGCGUUCUCGCCCGUGCACUCCGCCCGCCGCGGGCCAGCAUCGGCUCGCCCUGGGGGACAAAGGCGCUGGGAAUGUGGCUCCUCCGGGAGUGUUAUAGCCCGGCGCGCAAUGCCCUGUGGCGGGCCGAGGACCGCGCGUUCUACGCAAGGAUGCUGGCGUAAGGUCG